rnacentral:rRNA from 1 species
AAUGAACGCUGGCGGCAGGCCUAAAACAUGCAAGUCGAACGCCCUAGCAAUAGGGAGUGGCGCACGGGUGAGUAACAUGUGGGAAUAUGCCUUUUGGUACGGAACAACGUUUGGAAACGAACGCUAAUACCGUAUGGUCCCUCCGGGGUAAAGAUUUAUCGCCAAAAGAUUAGCCCGCACUAGAUUAGCUAGUUGGUAAGGUAAUGGCUUACCAAGGCGACGAUCUAUAGCUGUUCUGAGAGGAAGAUCGGCCACACUGGGACUGAGACACGGCCCAGACGCCUACGGGAGGCAGCAGUGGGGAAUCUUGCGCAAGGGGCGAAAGCCUGACGCAUCAACGCCGCGUGCGGGAUGAAGGCCUUCGGAUCGUAAACCGCUUUCAGCAGGGAUGAGACUGACAGUACCUGCAGAAGAAGCCCCGGCUAACUACGUGCCAGCCGCCGCCGUAAGAC